GUUAUAGUAGCUCAGUCGGUAGAGCAUUUGACUGUUAAUCAAAAGGUCGUAGGUUCAAAUCCUUCCUAUAACG
rnacentral:tRNA from 1 species